CCUACGGGUGGCAGCAGUGAGGAAUAUUGGUCAAUGGCCGGAAGUCUGAACCAGCCAUGCCGCGUGAGGGAUGACUGCCCUAUGAGUUGUAAACUUCUUUUAUACGGGGGGAAUAAAUGCUACGUGUAUCAUGAUGCCUGUACCGUACGAAUAAGGAUCGGCUAACUCCGUGCCAGCAGCCGCGGUAAUACGGAGGAUCCGAGCGUUAUCCGGAUUUAUUGGGUUAAAAGGGUGCGUAGGCGGUUUGUAAAGUUAGUGGUAAAAGGUCGGGGCUAAACCCCGAUUCGCCAUUAAUACUGUUGGACUAGAGUUCAGAUGCGGUAGGCGGAAU
rnacentral:rRNA from 1 species